UAAGCGUACACGGUGGAUGCCCUGGCAGUCAGAGGCGAUGAAGGACGUGCUAAUCUGCGAUAAGCGUCGGUAAGGUGAUAUGAACCGUUAUAACCGGCGAUUUCCGAAUGGGGAAACCCAGUGUGAUUCGUCACACUAUCAUUAACUGAAUCCAUAGGUUAAUGAGGCGAACCGGGGGAACUGAAACAUCUAAGUACCCCGAGGAAAAGAAAUCAACCGAGAUUCCCCCAGUAGCGGCGAGCGAACGGGGAGGAGCCCAGAGCCUGAAUCAGUGUGUGUGUUAGUGGAAGCGUCUGGAAAGGCGCGCGAUACAGGGUGACAGCCCCGUACACAAAAAUGCACAUGCUGUGAGCUCGAUGAGUAGGGCGGGACACGUGGUAUCCUGUCUGAAUAUGGGGGGACCAUCCUCCAAGGCUAAAUACUCCUGACUGACCGAUAGUGAACCAGUACCGUGAGGGAAAGGCGAAAAGAACCCCGGCGAGGGGAGUGAAAAAGAACCUGAAACCGUGUACGUACAAGCAGUGGGAGCACAGAGCAAUCUGUGUGACUGCGUACCUUUUGUAUAAUGGGUCAGCGACUUAUAUUCUGUAGCAAGGUUAACCGAAUAGGGGAGCCGAAGGGAAACCGAGUCUUAACUGGGCGUUAAGUUGCAGGGUAUAGACCCGAAACCCGGUGAUCUAGCCAUGGGCAGGUUGAAGGUUGGGUAACACUAACUGGAGGACCGAACCGACUAAUGUUGAAAAAUUAGCGGAUGACUUGUGGCUGGGGGUGAAAGGCCAAUCAAACCGGGAGAUAGCUGGUUCUCCCCGAAAGCUAUUUAGGUAGCGCCUCGUGAAUUCAUCUCCGGGGGUAGAGCACUGUUUCGGCAAGGGGGUCAUCCCGACUUACCAACCCGAUGCAAACUGCGAAUACCGGAGAAUGUUAUCACGGGAGACACACGGCGGGUGCUAACGUCCGUCGUGAAGAGGGAAACAACCCAGACCGCCAGCUAAGGUCCCAAAGUCAUGGUUAAGUGGGAAACGAUGUGGGAAGGCCCAGACAGCCAGGAUGUUGGCUUAGAAGCAGCCAUCAUUUAAAGAAAGCGUAAUAGCUCACUGGUCGAGUCGGCCUGCGCGGAAGAUGUAACGGGGCUAAACCAUGCACCGAAGCUGCGGCAGCGACGCUGAUGCGUUGUUGGGUAGGGGAGCGUUCUGUAAGCCUGUGAAGGUGUGCUGUGAGGCAUGCUGGAGGUAUCAGAAGUGCGAAUGCUGACAUAAGUAACGAUAAAGCGGGUGAAAAGCCCGCUCGCCGGAAGACCAAGGGUUCCUGUCCAACGUUAAUCGGGGCAGGGUGAGUCGACCCCUAAGGCGAGGCCGAAAGGCGUAGUCGAUGGGAAACAGGUUAAUAUUCCUGUACUUGGUGUUACUGCGAAGGGGGGACGGAGAAGGCUAUGUUGGCCGGGCGACGGUUGUCCCGGUUUAAGCGUGUAGGCUGGUUUUCCAGGCAAAUCCGGAAAACUAAGGCUGAGGCGUGAUGACGAGGCACUACGGUGCUGAAGCAACAAAUGCCCUGCUUCCAGGAAAAGCCUCUAAGCAUCAGGUAACAUCAAAUCGUACCCCAAACCGACACAGGUGGUCAGGUAGAGAAUACCAAGGCGCUUGAGAGAACUCGGGUGAAGGAACUAGGCAAAAUGGUGCCGUAACUUCGGGAGAAGGCACGCUGAUAUGUAGGUGAAGUCCCUCGCGGAUGGAGCUGAAAUCAGUCGAAGAUACCAGCUGGCUGCAACUGUUUAUUAAAAACACAGCACUGUGCAAACACGAAAGUGGACGUAUACGGUGUGACGCCUGCCCGGUGCCGGAAGGUUAAUUGAUGGGGUCAGCGCAAGCGAAGCUCUUGAUCGAAGCCCCGGUAAACGGCGGCCGUAACUAUAACGGUCCUAAGGUAGCGAAAUUCCUUGUCGGGUAAGUUCCGACCUGCACGAAUGGCGUAAUGAUGGCCAGGCUGUCUCCACCCGAGACUCAGUGAAAUUGAACUCGCUGUGAAGAUGCAGUGUACCCGCGGCAAGACGGAAAGACCCCGUGAACCUUUACUAUAGCUUGACACUGAACAUUGAGCCUUGAUGUGUAGGAUAGGUGGGAGGCUUUGAAGUGUGGACGCCAGUCUGCAUGGAGCCGACCUUGAAAUACCACCCUUUAAUGUUUGAUGUUCUAACGUUGACCCGUAAUCCGGGUUGCGGACAGUGUCUGGUGGGUAGUUUGACUGGGGCGGUCUCCUCCUAAAGAGUAACGGAGGAGCACGAAGGUUGGCUAAUCCUGGUCGGACAUCAGGAGGUUAGUGCAAUGGCAUAAGCCAGCUUGACUGCGAGCGUGACGGCGCGAGCAGGUGCGAAAGCAGGUCAUAGUGAUCCGGUGGUUCUGAAUGGAAGGGCCAUCGCUCAACGGAUAAAAGGUACUCCGGGGAUAACAGGCUGAUACCGCCCAAGAGUUCAUAUCGACGGCGGUGUUUGGCACCUCGAUGUCGGCUCAUCACAUCCUGGGGCUGAAGUAGGUCCCAAGGGUAUGGCUGUUCGCCAUUUAAAGUGGUACGCGAGCUGGGUUUAGAACGUCGUGAGACAGUUCGGUCCCUAUCUGCCGUGGGCGCUGGAGAACUGAGGGGGGCUGCUCCUAGUACGAGAGGACCGGAGUGGACGCAUCACUGGUGUUCGGGUUGUCAUGCCAAUGGCACUGCCCGGUAGCUAAAUGCGGAAGAGAUAAGUGCUGAAAGCAUCUAAGCACGAAACUUGCCCCGAGAUGAGUUCUCCCUGACUCCUUGAGAGUCCUGAAGGAACGUUGAAGACGACGACGUUGAUAGGCCGGAUGUGUAAGCGCAGCGAUGCGUUGAGCUAACCGGUACUAAUGAACCGUGAGGCUUAACCUUACAACGCCGAAGGUGUUU
rnacentral:rRNA from 2 species